UUGGGAAUAUUGGGCAAUGGGCGCAAGCCUGACCCAGCGACACCGCGUGGGGGACGAAGGCCUCCGGGUCGUAAACCCCUGUCAUGAGGGACGAAGCCGAAAGGUGACGGUACCUCAGGAGGAAGCCCCGGCUAACUACGUGCCAGCAGCCGCGGUAAGACGUAGGGGGCGAGCGUUGUCCGGAUUUACUGGGCGUAAAGCGCGUGCAGGCGGUCUGCUAAGUCCCGUGUUAAAGCCUCCGGCUCAACCGGAGAACGCCGCGGGAUACUGGCGGGCUUGAGGUAGGUAGAGGAUGAUGGAAUUCCCGGUGUAGCGGUGAAAUGCGUAGAUAUCGGGAGGAACGCCAGUGGCGAAGGCGGUCAUCUGGGCCUUACCUGACGCUGAGACGCGAAAGCUGGGGGAGCGAACGGGAUUAGAUACCCCCGUAGUCC
rnacentral:rRNA from 1 species